UCCUGACAGCGAAAGCUGACGCUAGCCAAGACAGGAGAUAAAAAUG
rnacentral:sRNA from 12 species